UACAGAGGUCUCAAGCGUUGUUCGGAUUCAUUGGGCGUAAAGGGUGCGUAGGUGGCGCCAUAAGUCAGGUGUGAAAUCUCGGGGCUUAACUCCGAAACUGCAUUUGAUACUGUGGUGCUUGAGGACUGGAGAGGAGACUGGAAUUUACGGUGUAGCAGUGAAAUGCGUAGAGAUCGUAAGGAAGACCAGUGGCGAAGGCGGGUCUCUGGACAGUGCCUGACACUGAGGCACGAAGGCCAGGGGAGCAAACGGG
rnacentral:rRNA from 1 species